UACAGAGGGCUCGAGCGUUGUUCGGAUUCAUUGGGCGUAAAGGGCGCGUAGGCGGCGGGGUAAGUCUGGUGUGAAAUCUCGGAGCUCAACUCCGAAAUUGCACUGGAUACUGCUCUGCUAGAGGGCUGGAGAGGAGAUCGGAAUUCACGGUGUAGCAGUGAAAUGCGUAGAUAUCGUGAGGAAGACCAGUGGCGAAGGCGGAUCUCUGGACAGCUCCUGACGCUGAGGCGCGAAGGCUAGGGGAGCAAACGGG
rnacentral:rRNA from 1 species